rnacentral:tRNA from 1 species
GAGAGAGGCCUUAAAGCAUCGGAAUCUGCUAAAUUUCGGAACCUCAAUUAACCCUGGGGCUCACUCG